GACGAACGCUGGCGGCGUGCUUAACACAUGCAAGUCGAACGGAAAGGCCCUGCUUUUGUGGGGUGCUCGAGUGGCGAACGGGUGAGUAACACGUGAGUAACAUGCCCUUGACUUUGGGAUAACUUCAGGAAACUGGGGCUAAUACCGGAUAGGAGCUCCUGCUGCAUGGUGGGGGUUGGAAAGUUUCGGCGGUUGGGGAUGGAAUCGCGGCUUAUCAGCUUGUUGGUGGGGUAGUGGCUUACCAAGGCUUUGAAGGGUAGCCGGCCUGAGAGGGUGACCGGCCACAUUGGGACUGAGAUACGGCCCAGACGCCCACGUGAGGCAGCAGUGGGGAAUAUUACACAAUGGGCGGAAGCCUGAUGCAGCAACGCCGCGUUCGGGAUGACGGCCUUCGGGUUGUAAACCACUUUCUCCGGUGACGAAGCGGUAUUGACGGUAAUGGGUAAAGAAGCACCGGCUAACUACGUG
rnacentral:rRNA from 1 species